rnacentral:rRNA from 1 species
GGCAGGCCUAAUACAUGCAAGUCGAGCGGGUGUAGCAAUACACCAGCGGCAGACGGGAGAGUAACACGUGGGAACGUGCCCUUCAGUUCGGAACAACCCAGGGAAACUUGGGCUAAUACCGGAUACGUCCGUAAGGAGAAAGAUUUAUCGCUGAAGGAUCGGCCCGCGUCUGAUUAGCUUGUUGGUGAGGUAACGGCUCACCAAGGCGACGAUCAGUAGCUGGUCUGAGAGGAUGAUCAGCCUCACUGGGACUGAGACGCGGCCCAGACUCCUACGGGAGGCAGCAGUAGGGAAUAUUGGACAAUGGGCGCAAGCCUGAUCCAGCCAUGCCGCGUGGGUGAUGAAGGCCCUAGGGUUGUAAAGCCCUUUCGGCGGGGAAGAUAAUGACGGUACCCGCAGAAGAAGCCCCGGCUAACUUCGUGCCAGCAGCCGCGGUAAUACGAAGGGGGCUAGCGUUGCUCGGAAUCACUGGGCGUAAAGCGCACGUAGGCGGCUUUUUAAGUCAGGGGUGAAAUCCUGGAGCUCAACUCCAGAACUGCCUUUGAUACU